UGUUUGAUGUUCUAACGUUGACCCGUAAUCCGGGUUGCGGACAGUGUCUGGUGGGUAGUUUGACUGGGGCGGUCUCCUCCUAAAGAGUAACGGAGGAGCACGAAGGUUGGCUAAUCCUGGUCGGACAUCAGGAGGUUAGUGCAAUGGCAUAAGCCAGCUUGACUGCGAGCGUGACGGCGCGAGCAGGUGCGAAAGCAGGUCAUAGUGAUCCGGUGGUUCUGAAUGGAAGGGCCAUCGCUCAACGGAUAAAAGGUACUCCGGGGAUAACAGGCUGAUACCGCCCAAGAGUUCAUAUCGACGGCGGUGUUUGGCACCUCGAUGUCGGCUCAUCACAUCCUGGGGCUGAAGUAGGUCCCAAGGGUAUGGCUGUUCGCCAUUUAAAGUGGUACGCGAGCUGGGUUUAGAACGUCGUGAGACAGUUCGGUCCCUAUCUGCCGUGGGCGCUGGAGAA
rnacentral:rRNA from 1 species